rfam:Oryza sativa Japonica Group DNA, chromosome 11, cultivar: Nipponbare, complete sequence.
GGAUGCGAUCAUACCUACACUAAAGCUCCGGAUCCCAUCAGAACUCUGAAGUUAAGCGUGCUUGGGCGAGAGUAGUACUAGGAUGGGUGACCGGAAUCAAAAAGUUCAGAAAGCACCAA